CCGGGACCCCGGCGGCCGCGCGCGGAAACGAGCGCGGCCCCUCAGGCCGCUCCGCCGCCCCGGCCCCCGCCCCGGUAGCUCUUCCUCUACACGUUCUCCUGCUGCUCCUGUCUGACACCACGCACUUCUUGCCCGCUCCCUCUUCCACCCCACGGCCAGGCAGCGCCGAGCGCUUUCCCGAGGCACCGGGACGGACACUGGGGCGGGAUCUCCCGCCGUCCCCCUCAGCCCCGCUCCCGGCACGGCUGCUGCCCGCCCCCGGGAGCCGGCCAGGACUCCAGCCAAAGCGGUGGAUAUAGGAAUCUGGGAUAACCGGUAAAUAUGGCAACGCACGUAACUGUUGUUAUGCUCUAAAGAUUUCAGUAUGAGACAAGCAACUAGACAGCUCUUUCUGAGACAUAUGCAAGUUUGUUUUUAUAAAAUCGAUGUAAUUCUUCCAGCAUUUAAAGUAGUUCUUUGAAGUGAGCUCCCUGAACACAAGAUUCGUUUGUGAAGAGCUGGCAGGUGUCUCAUUACACACACACGCACACAGAUAUCAGGAGCUGCUUCCUUUCCCCCAGCAUACCUGAUCUCUCUGCUCCAUGCAAGACCCUCCUUCAGCUUUCUCUGGCAAACUUCAGGAUGAUGCUGUCUGUGGAAACUGUUAAAAACAAAAACAUAUGCGCCUUUGUGGUGAUGUCGUUUGGAUAUUUUGUUUUGAAUGCUCUUUAAGGCCUGUUUUAACACAGGCCUCUGCCCAUGGGCACACAAUAAAAUACAAUGCAAUAUGAAGACUGAUGUUCUCCAUCUAACCUUGUCACUGUUCAGUUACCAGUUUGUUGUGAUUCUCUUAAAUAUACUAUUUCAGAAUUAUGAUUUCACAGCCUCUGCCAGAUACAAAAUAACAGAUUCUGUGUGGCAUUUGGAAAGGAGACAGCUCCUCACACCAAAACCGCAGUGUUGCUGUUGUUCUCAUGGUGAUGAUACUUAGUGCUGUGUUUGCCUUUUGGCACAAACGUCUGGAGAAGGUAGUUGUUUUCUGAAUCUGCAUCCACAAGCAGUAUCACCUAAAUUGUGCUGUCCUGAGAAGAAUGGACUCGUGGGAACACAGGAAACUUUGUCACAACAAGAGUUUGUUGCAUUGGGUGACACAAACUUAGAGCUUUCAAGAAUGUAUUUUAAUGAUUUUAAUAACAAGGAAAAGACAUGCACAAUAAGUAAUAACAUAAAAGGCCCUUUGGCCAUAUUUUAUAAUGCUCCACACACUUUGCUUACUUUACCUGAUGGAGUUUGAGUUUCCCCAAAAAAUGCUUUAAGAGAAAGGGAAUAAUUUAUUAUUUUUCCCAAGACUGAGACCUGCUGGUAUCUGUGAUACAAUAAUGUGUUUAAAAGCUCCAUACCAAUAUUUUGGUUUCCUGCAUAAAAAAGUCUCCAUCAUCACAGAAGAGAUACUUAUUAAGAUCGUGAUUUGAAAAACACAAACAAUGAAGGCCUCAAAAGGAUUACUUUUUUUUUUAACUGACAUCCUGAAAAUGUAUGAAUGUGUUGAAAACAGCUUUAGCCACUUGCAAGAACCUGUGGAAAAAUAAAACAAGUUUCCUUGAGUCUGAGGCUUACA
rnacentral:lncRNA from 1 species